rnacentral:rRNA from 1 species
GUAGGUGGCAAGCGUUGUCCGGAAUUAUUGGGCGUAAAGCGCGCGCAGGGCGGUUCUUUAAGUCUGAUGUGAAAGCCCACGGCUCAACCGUGGAGGGUCAUUGGAAACUGGAGAACUUGAGUACAGAAGAGGAAAGCGGAAUUCCACGUGUAGCGGUGAAAUGCGUAGAGAUGUGGAGGAACACCGGUGGCGAAGGCGGCUUUCUGGUCUGUAACUGACGCUGAGGCGCGAAAGCGUGGGGAGCAAACAGGAUUAGAUACCCUGGUAGUCCACGCCGUAAACGAUGAGUGCUAAGUGUUAGGGGGUUUCCGCCCCUUAGUGCUGCAGCUAACGCAUUAAGCACUCCGCCUGGGGAGUACGACCGCAAGGUUG